AUUAGAGGAGUCAAGUCGUAACAGUUUCAGUAGUUGACCUGCGAAUGAUCAUUA
rnacentral:rRNA from 1 species